rnacentral:rRNA from 1 species
GAGUUAAAGAGCCGCGGUAAUUUGACCGUGCAAAGGUAGCAUAAUCAUUAGUUUCUUAAUUGGGAACUUGUAUGAAAGGUUUGACAAAGAAAAAGCUGUCUUUAUUAUAAAAAUUGAACUUAACUUUUAAGUGAAAAGGCUUAAAUAAUUUAGAGGGACGAUAAGACCCUAUAAAGCAUUUUGUUGGGGUGAUAUUAAUAAAAUUAUUAACUGUUAAAAAACAAUACGUAAAUAAAAGGAGUGAUCCUUAAUUAAAGAUUAAAAGAUUAAGUUACUUUAGGGAUAACAGCGUAAUUUUUCUUGAGAGCCCAUAUCGAAAGAAAAGAUUUCGACCUCGAUGUUGAAUUAAGAUAUCUGUGUAGAGUAGUCGUUACAUAAGAAGGUCUGUUCGACCUUUAAACUUUU